ACGGGAGGCAGCAGUGGGGAAUUUUGGACAAUGGGGGCAACCCUGAUCCAGCCAUCCCGCGUGUGCGAUGAAGGCCUUCGGGUUGUAAAGCACUUUUGGCAGGAAAGAAACGGCGUCGGCUAAUACCUGGCGUAACUGACGGUACCUGCAGAAUAAGCACCGGCUAACUACGUGCCAGCAGCCGCGGUAAUACGUAGGGUGCAAGCGUUAAUCGGAAUUACUGGGCGUAAAGCGUGCGCAGGCGGUUCGGAAAGAAAGAUGUGAAAUCCCAGGGCUUAACCUUGGAACUGCAUUUUUAACUACCGGGCUAGAGUGUGUCAGAGGGGGGUGGAAUUCCACGUGUAGCAGUGAAAUGCGUAGAUAUGUGGAGGAACACCGAUGGCGAAGGCAGCCCCCUGGGAUAACACUGACGCUCAUGCACGAAAGCGUGGGGAGCAAACAGGAUUAGAUACCCUGGUAGUCCACGCCCUAAACGAUGUCAACUAGCUGUUGGGGCCUUCGGGCCUUGGUAGCGCAGCUAACGCGUGAAGUUGACCGCCUGGGGAGUACGGUCGCAAGAUUAAAACUCAAAGGAAUUGACGGGGACCCGCACAAGCGGUGGAUGAUGUGGAUUAAUUCGAUGCAACGCGAAAAACCUUACCUACCCUUGACAUGUCUGGAAUCCCGAAGAGAUUUGGGAGUGCUCGCAAGAGAACCGGAACACAGGUGCUGCAUGG
rnacentral:rRNA from 1 species